rnacentral:rRNA from 1 species
AGCGAACGCUGGCGGCAGGCUUAACACAUGCAAGUCGAGCGGGCACUUUCGGGUGUCAGCGGCGGACGGGUGCGUAACGCGUGGGAACGUGCCCUCUGGUUCGGAAUAACUCAGGGAAACUUGAGCUAAUACCGGAUACGCCCUUUUGGGGAAAGGCUUGCUGCCGGAGGAUCGGCCCGCGUCUGAUUAGCUAGUUGGUGAGGUAACGGCUCACCAAGGCGACGAUCAGUAGCUGGUCUGAGAGGAUGAUCAGCCACACUGGGACUGAGACACGGCCCAGACUCCUACGGGAGGCAGCAGUGGGGAAUAUUGGACAAUGGGCGCAAGCCUGAUCCAGCCAUGCCGCGUGAGUGAUGAAGGCCUUAGGGUUGUAAAGCUCAUUUAUCCGGGACGAUAAUGACGGUACCGGAGGAAUAAGCCCCGGCUAACUUCGUG